rnacentral:lncRNA from 1 species
UGAUAUGAUCUUUCUAAUUUAAAUGCCAAAUUAGAGUUUUGACCCCAAUUUUACGGUUCACUGAACAUAGAAAAUGAUAGUGCAAAUUUCAGGUUAAAGUUUUUGGCUUCAGGUUAAAGUUUUUGGUCAAGGUAGUUUUUGAUGAAGUUGAAGUCCAAUCAACUUGAAACUUAGUAUACAUGUGCCCUAUGAUAUGAUCUUUCUAAUUUAAAUGCCAAAUUAGAGUUUUGACCCCA